rnacentral:rRNA from 1 species
CCUACGGGAGGCAGCAGUGGGGAAUUUUGGACAAUGGGCGCAAGCCUGAUCCAGCCAUUCCGCGUGAGUGAAGAAGGCCUUCGGGUUGUAAAGCUCUUUCGCAAGGGAAGAAACGAUUUAGGUGAAUAAUCUAAGUUAAUGACGGUACCUUGAUAAGAAGCACCGGCUAACUACGUGCCAGCAGCCGCGGUAAUACGUAGGGUGCGAGCGUUAAUCGGAAUUACUGGGCGUAAAGCGUGCGCAGGCUGUUUUGUAAGUCAGAUGUGAAAUCCCCGAGCUCAACUUGGGAACUGCGUUUGAAACUACAAGACUAGAAUAUGUCAGAGGGGGGUAGAAUUCCACGUGUAGCAGUGAAAUGCGUAGAGAUGUGGAGGAAUAUCAAUGGCGAAGGCAGCCCCCUGGGAUAAUAUUGACGCUCAUGCACGAAAGCGUGGGGAGCAAACAGGAUUAGAUACCCUGGUAGUCCACGCCCUAAACGAUGUACAACUAGUUGUUGGUAGAAGUAAAACUCUAUGAGUAACCGNAGCUAACGCGUAGAAGUUGACCCGCCGUGGGGAGGACGAGCGCGAGAAGUUAAACGUAACUAAACUAAGUAAGUUAGUACCGGACGUAGAGACGUUAGCCGACGGACGACGACGAGGGAGGAGGG